ACCAGAAACACAAACCUUGUAUAAAAUGAAUUAAUGAUGACAGAGUGGACCUAACAUUGAAACCACAGGGCUUGAAAGAAUGAAUACCUAUUCUUCAUGAUCUCUUCUGUGAUAAAGAUAAGGUCACUAACCAUAUAACUAUUGAUGGAGAAGACAUAUAAGGGCAGAACAUGGUCACCAAACUCAA